rnacentral:tRNA from 2 species
GGAGGGAUGCCAGAGCGGUCGAAUGGGCCGCACUCGAAAUGCGGUAUCUACGCAAGUGGAUCGUGAGUUCGAAUCUCACUCCCUCCG